rnacentral:rRNA from 1 species
GACGAACGCUGGCGGCGUGCUUAACACAUGCAAGUCGAACGGACAGGCCCUGCUUUUGUGGGGUGCUCGAGUGGCGAACGGGUGAGUAACACGUGAGUAACCUGCCCUUGACUUUGGGAUAACUUCAGGAAACUGGGGCUAAUACCGGAUAGGAGCUCCUGCUGCAUGGUGGUGGUUGGAAAGAUUCGGCGGUUGGGGAUGGACUCGCGGCUUAUCCGCUUGUUGGUGGGGUAGUGGCUUACCAAGGGUUUGACGGGUAGCCGGCCUGAGAGGGUGACCGGCCACAUGGGGCCUGAGAUACGGCCCAGACGCCUACGGGAGGCAGCAGGGGGGAAUAUUGCACAAUGGGCGGAAGCCUGAUGCAGCAACGCCGCGUGCGGGAUGACGGCCUUCGGGUUGUAAACCGCUGUCGCCUGUGACGAAGCGUGAGUGACGGUAACGGGUAAAGAAGCACCGGCUAACUACGUG